GAUGAACGCUGGCGGCGUGCUUAACACAUGCAAGUCGAACGGUGAAGGCGGAGCUUGCUCUGCUGGAUCAGUGGCGAACGGGUGAGUAACACGUGAGCAAUCUGCCCCUGACUCUGGGAUAAGCGCUGGAAACGGCGUCUAAUACUGGAUACGAGCUGCGAAGGCAUCUUCAGCAGCUGGAAAGAACUUCGGUCAGGGAUGAGCUCGCGGCCUAUCAGCUUGUUGGUGAGGUAACGGCUCACCAAGGCGUCGACGGGUAGCCGGCCUGAGAGGGUGACCGGCCACAAUGGGACUGAGACACGGCCCAGACUCGUACGGGAGGCAGCAGUGGGGAAUAUUGCACAAUGGGCGAAAGCCUGAUGCAGAAACGCCGCGUGAGGGACGACGGCCUUCGGGUUGUAAACCCCUUUUAGCAGGGAAGAAGCGAAAGUGACGGUACCUGCAGAAAAAGCGCCGGCUAACUACGUG
rnacentral:rRNA from 1 species